GAGGGACCCACCUUAUCCUUAACAAGCAAGGUGCACUGUGGAGGGUGGGGGAAGUGGGCAGUUGUUCUUUGGACCAUCAGCUUGAGGGAGGCACCCGGUCUCACGUUCCUGAGGUACUGCUUCCAUAGGAUGGUGCCAGAACUGCUUUCAAUGCCAAAAAGCUUUCCUGAAGCAGUGACCAUCACCAUCAUUUUCUGGAGGUUGAACUCAUCCCUGGCUAGAUUGUCAAUGUUAAUCUCAUUUUUAAUCUGGCUCCGGGGUUUCCUGGCAUCAUAGAACAUCUUCCAAAGGUGAGCAGUCCAGGCUUGCAGCAGGAUAAGCUGGGAGGACAGCCGCUUCAGAAACAUCCCCAGCAAUCCAUCUGCUUUCUUCCCA
rnacentral:lncRNA from 1 species